rnacentral:rRNA from 1 species
ACAAUGGGCAACCCUGACCGAGCAACGCCGCGUGGAGGAUGACGGUUUUCGGAUUGUAAACUCCUUUUCUCAGGGAAGAGCGAGGACGGUACCUGGGGAAUAAGUCACGGCUAACUACGUGCCAGCAGCCGCGGUAAUACGUAGGUGGCAAGCGUUAUCCGGAAUUACUGGGCGUAAAGCGCACGCAGGUGGCGGCUUAAGUCUGACGUGAAAGCUCCUGGCUUAACUGGGAGAGGUCGUUGGAGACUGGGCGGCUUGAGGCGAGGAGAGGGGUGUAGAAUUCCCGGUGUAGUGGUGGAAUGCGUAGAGAUCGGGAGGAAUACCAGUGGCGAAAGCGGCACCCUGGCCUUGGCCUGACGCUCAGGUGCGAAAGCGUGGGGAGCGAACGGGAUUAGAUACCCCGGUAGUCCACGCGGUAAACGAUGAAUACUAGGUGUAGGUGGUCUCAAAACUAUCUGUACCGCAGCUAACGCGAUAAGUAUUCCGCCUGGGGAGUACGACCGCAAGGUUAAAACUCAAAGGAAUUGACGGGGGC